GAGCCGUUAGCUCAGCCGGUAGAGCAUCUGACUUUUAAUCAGAGGGUCGGGAGUUCGAACCUCCCACGGCUCA
rnacentral:tRNA from 1 species